GACGAACGCUGGCGGCGUGCCUAAUACAUGCAAGUCGAACGCAGUGGGGACGGGUGAGUAACACGUGGGUAACCUCCCAUCAGAGGGGAUAAAACUUGGAAACAGGUGCUAAACCGAUACUGAUGGAUGGACCCGCGGUGCAUUAGCUAGUUGGUGAGGUAACGGCUCACCAAGGCCACGAUGCAUAGCCGACUUGAGAGGGUGGUCUACCCAACUGGGACUGAGGCACGGCCCAGACUCAGACAUGAUUCAUCAUUACAAAAUCUUCGGCAAUGGACGAAAGUCUGACCGAGCAACGCCGCGUGAGUGAAGAAGAUUUUCGGAUCAUAAAACUCUGUUGUUAGAGAAGCGGUAUCUAACCAGAAAGCCACGGCUAACUACGUGCCAGCAGCCGCGGUAAUUC
rnacentral:rRNA from 1 species